rnacentral:rRNA from 1 species
AGAGUUUGAUCAUGGCUCAGGACGAACGCUGGCGGCGUGCCUAACACAUGUAAGUCGAACGGGACUGGAGGGCAACUUCCAGUUCAGUGGCAGACGGGUGCGUAACACGUGAGGAACUUGUCCAACGGUGGGGGACAGCCGGCCCAACGGCCGGUUAAUACCGCAUACGAUCAUUCGGGGGCAUCCCUGAAUGAGGAAAGCAGCCGCAAGGUUGCGCCGAUGGAGGGUCUCGCGGCCUAUCAGCUAGUUGGCGGGGUAACGGCCCACCAAGGCGACGACGGGUAGCUGGUCUGAGAGGAUGGCCAGCCACAUCGGGACUGAGACACGGCCCAGACUCCUACGGGAGGCAGCAGUGGGGAAUCUUGCGCAAUGGCCGCAAGGCUGACGCAGCGACGCCGCGUGUGGGAUGACGGCCUUCGGGUUGUAAACCACUGUCGGGAGGAACGAAUACUCGGCUUCGAAUAGGAGCCCGAGGGUGACGGUACCUCCAAAGGAAGCACCGGCUAACUCCGUGCCAGCAGCCGCGGUAAUACGGAGGGUGCGAGCGUUGUCCGGAAUCACUGGGCGUAAAGGGCGCGUAGGUGGCCCGUUAAGUGGCUGGUGAAAUCCCGGGGCUCAACUCCGGGGCUGCCGGUCAGACUGGCGAGCUAGAGCACGGUAGGGGCAGAUGGAAUUCCCGGUGUAGCGGUGGAAUGCGUAGAGAUCGGGAAGAAUACCAGUGGCGAAGGCGUUCUGCUGGGCCGUUGCUGACACUGAGGCGCGACAGCGUGGGGAGCAAACAGGAUUAGAUACCCUAGUAGUCC